rnacentral:rRNA from 1 species
AACGAACGCUGGCGGCAGGCCUAACACAUGCAAGUCGAGCGAAGCCUCGGGCUUAGCGGCGGACGGGUGAGUAACGCGUGGGUACGUGCCCUUUGCUACGGAAUAGCCCCGGGAAACUGGGAGUAAUACCGUAUGUGCCCUUCGGGGGAAAGAUUUAUCGGCAAAGGAUCGGCCCGCGUUGGAUUAGGUAGUUGGUGGGGUAAUGGCCUACCAAGCCGACGAUCCAUAGCUGGUUUGAGAGGAUGAUCAGCCACACUGGGACUGAGACACGGCCCAGACUCCUACGGGAGGCAGCAGUGGGGAAUCUUAGACAAUGGGGGAAACCCUGAUCUAGCCAUGCCGCGUGAUCGAUGAAGGCCUUAGGGUUGUAAAGAUCUUUCAGUGGGGAAGAUAAUGACUGUACCCACAGAAGAAGCCCCGGCUAACUCCGUGCCAGCCGCCGCGGUAAGAC